UUGGACAAGAAUUGUUUCUGAGCUGCUGUUCACUAGCACGUGUUUCCCCUUUCCAGCGCGGUGCCGCCGCCCAAGAAAGGAUUUUUGUGGGUCAGCCAGAUGUGCUCCUGCCUCCCACUGAGGCUCUGAGAUGGAGCCGAGUUUGCAUUCCAGUUUAUUGCAACAGAGGGUCACGGGAAAUUUCCUCAGCUGUCUCAGGCACAGAGCCAUGGAAGCAAGACAGCACGAAGACUGAACGUGUAAGAAGAUGUGGGGUGCAAUGGAGAACCUGGCAGGAGCAUCCGACGCACACGUGCACGAGUUUUGCUUUUUGCUUGGAUUGAAACUCAAAA